AACGGCCGUACCGUGCUGUAUAUACCGGUUCUCGUUAGAUCACCGAAGUCAAAAAAGCAUCAUUUGGUGUGGUCAGUACUUGGGUGGGUGACUACCUGAGAACACCGCGUGCCGUU
rnacentral:rRNA from 1 species